GCCCCCCUCAAGAUGAGAUUUCCCAUUCCGCAAGGAAGUAAGAUCCCUGAAAGAUGAUCAGGUUGAUAGGUCUGAGGUGGAAGUGUGGCGACACAUGGAGCUGACAGAUACUAAUCGAUCGAGGACUUAACCAAAUUUCUA
rnacentral:rRNA from 1 species